rnacentral:rRNA from 1 species
UGAGGAAUCUUGCGCAAUGGGGGAAACCCUGACGCAGCAACGCCGCGUGAGUGAGGAAGGCCUCCGGGUCGCAAAGCUCUGUCAGAUGGGAAGAAACGGGUGGGGGCUAAUAUCGUCCAUCCUUGACGGUACCAUCAGAGGAAGCACCGGCUAACUCUGCGCCAGCAGCCGCGGUAAUACGGGGGGUGCAAGCGUCGUUCGGAAUCAUUGGGCGUAGACGGCGAGCAGGCGGCUCGGUAAGUCAGAUGUGAAAGCCCUGGGCUUAACCCAGGCAGUGCAUAUGAGACUGCCGCGCCAGAGUACGGGAGAAGUAAGUGGACUUCCUAGUGUAGAGGAGAAAUUCGUAGAUAACAGGAGGAACACCGGUGGCGAAGGCGACUUCCUGGCCGGAUACUGACGCUCAGGCGCGAAAGCGUGGG